GUUGGGACCAAACAUAAAAAUGCCCUGGAUGUCCUAGAGGCACAUUUGAGUUAGGGAGGCCCAUCUUGUGUAAGGACAAGAUUUGAGGCCAGCAGGAUUCAGAGUAGGGAUCUGCUGGAGGACUGGGGCUUGCUCUAAAACCCAUAGGCAGCUUUCCUUUUAAAAAACCCAAACAAUCAUUUAUGUGAAGGCAAACGUUAAAGGGAGGGUACAUAAAGCCAGAGCCAGCAGUUGCCAUGGCCCUGGGCCCAGUUCUGUUAGACAGAUCUUGCCUAGGGAUGUGGCAACUAGCACAGGUAGAGUCUCACUGGAAUAAAAUAAACUUGGCCUUUCUUAAAGUAAGUUGUAAAGACACUCCGCGAUGUGCUGAUUCCAAACUGCUAAUGUACAGAGCAAAGCUCUCUAUCGUGCACCAACAAUAUAGUUCUAUAAUGCAUCAGCUAAAUUCAUUCAGUUCAGCUUUUUUUUUGUUGUCAGAACUGUGUCAGCCAUCCACCCAUUUUAUAUUGAGGCUGCUCUUGCAAUCUGCAGUCAGGCUUUAGGUUUAACAUUAUUACAACUAGUUAGUGUAGUUUGAUGUGCGUGUUAAUGUUUGGAGGCUGGAGCAAAAGACAAUUUUUUCUCCCUAAAAAUGUAUCUAUACAGGUUUGAUAGGGUAAGGGAGAAUUCUAAAAAUGUGUUUCGGCCCAAUCCCACAGAAAGCAGUGGUAGGUGUUGAGCCACUUAAACUAUAUAAGUCUAUGGUUGCAAGUGCCCCAGCAGGGAAAAUGUUGAAGGCAGACAAAAACUCACAUGAAAAGGUGCUGAAUUUCUUUUGCAGGGAGAUUUUGCAUAAAUGAGUUCCAAGACCUGCCUGCUUUUAUCUAUGGAUUUACUUACAAGCUGGGAAAUGCUUCCGAUUCCACCUGUAAGAAGCUGCUAUUAGACAUCAUGAAAUAAAUAAAAGAAGAAAGGGGGGUGUGAGUUGAUGAGGAAAUAGACUUAAGACUUAGCAGUGGAAAGCUGCUUACAGGCUAUAGGAACAGAGACCAUUCUGUGAAGAACAAGUCAUCUUAUAUGAUGUUGGAGCCUAAUGGGCUAGGCACAACUUAAAAUUUUGGCUCCUAAGAGACCAUGAAAUUCUAUAGGAGCGGGGGAGUGAUUCCUGUGAGUGAGGAACAGCUGCAGAUGUUCAUUCUAGAUGGGACCAAAAAUGCAUAAAGCCACAAUUUUUCCUUAUAAACUAUCAUAGUCAAUUAUUUUUAAACCCCUCAUGAAUACUGACAAAGGAAAUUACACCCCCCACCCCACACACACAAACAAAUAAAUCACAUUUCUAAGUAACAUCCAGGAUUUAACUAACUCACAGCAAGAGGAAGACAAAGGGCUGAGAUCUGCAUUUUAUCCUCAAACUGAUAUGCUAUGUCUGUAUCACACAAAGAGCUCUGCAAACAGCAUGUGAUCUUCCAUUAAGCAGGGGCUGCAAUGCCAAGAUACGACCUUAUGAAUGAAACCUAGAACAGACAAUGCUUUUCUGGUGUUAAGGAAAUCUCUGAAUGUGCAUUAAUUGAAAUUACUUUUCUUAAUUAAUUUUGGUAGAAAGUAGUUCAGGAAAGUGAUGUUAUAUUACACCCUCUUUUCCUCUCCUAUAACAUCUAUAAAAGUAGAAAAGAAAGUACAUGAAAGAAGGCUUGAAUUUUCAUUUGCACAAGAAACAAAGUCAGAGAUUUAUUAAGCACUAGCUUACCAGAUGUGCUCUCAGAGUCAUAUUACACAACAGGGACUUGCUUUUGUUCCAGCUGUAACAGGGAAGAAAAAGUCAGCAUGUAUUUUCACCCACUGUAACGCCUAAUUCCAUGUUCUGGUUUGAUGGCAUAAAUUAAGAAUUACUUCCCGUUUCCCUUUAUUAAAAAAAUAAAGAAGGUGUAGGUUAUACUCAGUGAAAGCACUAAAACUAUGUGAACCCUAUUGUGUGCCUGCUUACUGCAUAUUCCAGCUGGCUUGGCUUAUUCAGUCUGUGGGGCAAUGUGCCUCUCAUGUACAAAUUAUGCAAAUAUUGUGCAGAUCUAGAGCAAUUUAUCACUAGGAGAAAAGGUGAAAGAAAUGAACACCACAUUUCUAAAGCAAGGCAAUUUUAUAUUACAAAAAGAAAUAGAAAUCUCUCAAUUAACUUGGUUCCAAAGCAAAGAACAAACAGUCAUUAAGCGUAUGCCAUAUGUAUUAUAGCUCUCAUAUGGCUCACAGUAAUUAAAUGAGAAGCAACAUGCUUAUAUCUCAGAGCAGCACUCAGAAAAACCUGCAAGGAUAAGCCAGGCAUUCUUCAUGAAUAAAUAAAUGAAUAAAGUCAAAGUGAACUGCCUGAUAACAGAUAAGGCAGUUUGGCCACCCUGAUGCUAUUCUGUAUGAAAGUACACAAAGUACCAGAGAAUUGCAGUGUGCAAUAAAGACUUUGCUGCAGUGAAAGGUAUGGCAGAAGUGCAGGCAGACCAUUGCACAUAGGGCAACUACAACAUGGUGCAAUGUACCACAGCCAGCUAGUCAGUUUAUACUAGACUUUUGGUUCAAAGAAAUGCAUAUCAAAAUAGGAUGUCCCCCUGUCUGUACCCUUCUCUUUCAACCAUCGAGUCAUCCCUAAAGCUGGAUUUUGGCUUCUAUUCCUACCAUGUCCCCUCAACACCAUCCCAGCUUCUCUUUGUUCCCUACUCAUUUCUUCUCUCUCUUUCCCUAAAUAUGUCUUUGUCAAAGGUAUGUUCCUUUCUCCAUUAAAAAGAUAUUUUUCUUCCUGCCAUGAAGAGCAAACAAUACUUUUCUAUCAGUUUAAAGUGCAUUUUGCAUUGUAGACACAAUUUGUGUAAACAAGAAUUUGCCAUACCUAUUAAAUAUGGGUUAGAGUCCCACUCCAUGCCUGUAGCUACCUGUAUGUCUUCAAUACCCAAAGAACAAAACAGCAUGUAACAUAUGUACUUGCAAAACUGAGGGGGAAAUAACUACAGGGGAACACAGAAGUAUGUACAGGUACAAGAGGUCACAACCAGGUACCCCUUAAUUCACUACUGGGGGGAGGGGAAAGGCCCUGAUUUCAGUGGAGUUGUACCUGAAUUAAUACUGCCAGUGAUUAACACUGCUCUCAUUCUGUAAACGUUCACUCCUUUUUAAUAACGCAGUGCUGGUAAAUCCAUUCCAAGCCAUUCACAGUCCUGUUUAUCGCAGCAUGCUUUAGGUGCAUCAUUUUUCCAAGUGCUUCUAAAAAUAGAGCAAAUGCUGAAACACAUCCCUCAUUCUCAGUACACAGAACAAUUUUAGCUGCCUCUUCUCUUACGGUUUUUGAUCAUUUUUGCAACAGAAUUUAAAGGUGAUCAUGCAAAUAUGUCAGAUGCUCUUUCCUCCAGGGAAGGCAUUUUACAACUUGCCUAUGUACCUGAGGAUACACUGACAGGCUGAUCUAAACUUAUUUAAAUUAGGCCUGAUCAGAUUGGCAUGGAAAUCAGCCUUCUUGCACUAAAGUUAUUCUCAGAAAAGAUCAGUCAGGUCAUCUAGCCUCACUGCUACCACUGCAUUAUAUUCUGUCUGAAAAAAGUCCCUUUGCAAUGCACUGCAUGACAUUUGAAGCAUUUUUCAUUAUAAACACUCAUAUCCUUCUGUGAAUUCUGAAAUUAAGUUUUGUUAGUUUUAUUUGUAAACUUGUUACAAAUACUUUAUAUUGAAUUUGUGCACACAACUUCCACUGAAGCUGUUUGCUAUGAAAAUAUUUAUUAGGAAUGGCAACUUAACAUAGUAAAUCAAACAUUGAACAUUCACCAGACCUCAAAGAUAGACAUAAAAUAUUUUACAAAAUUUCUUUAUGGAAUUACACAAAACAAAUGCACAGGGUUUGUCUGUGUUUACAUUGAAUUACUCCGAAGCCAAAAACCAAAAAGAUCACAAAAAGGCAUGAUAAACUUCAUUUUUCAUCAUUGUUGCACUGCUGUGUAACAAGCCCUUGUUACAAAACAUUACUGUUAAAAAAAAAUCAAUAGAAAAUGUAACCCAUCUAACAGAGCUAUUGUAUUAACAGCUGAUUUUCAAACUGACUUUACAACAUGAAAGCCUAUUAAUAGAGGUACCUUAGUCACAUAAGUUUAAAAUAUGGAGAAUAGAAAUAGAAAAAAUUAACCUUUAGUAGUCUUUAAUAUAAAAUGCACUAAUUUCCCAAAAUAAGAAUAUUAUGACACACCAGUGUCAAUUUAUAUUGAUGAAAGCUGACACCAGCUUCUUUCUAACUAAAAUUUAUUUCACAAAACUUUAUAUAUUACAUGAAUAUUCAAGUAAACUAUUUAAAAACAUUUAAAAGCACAAGAGCUGAAUUGUACAGUGUUUCAGAUUGUUAACUUAGGAGUGAUGUUAUCUCCAACUAUAUAUAUUUAUAGAUAUAUUUUUUUAUUCUUUAAGACCAUCGUGACACUACCUGAUAUUGCAAGAAAUUCCUUUCAGUUAACGUUUAUCAUUUUUUUUUCAUUUGCAAUUCUUAAAAAUAAAAAUCUCAGUUGCAUUUUAAUCAGAAAAUUAUGACAAUGGUUUAACUUGUUGCCAGCUGUUGUAUCCCUUCUCUCUGUGUACUGUCACAUCACAUUGUGGCCACCUCUCCUGUGAGAUGCUGAGCAUUCUCAGCUUCCUAUCAUUUUGAUGGGAGUUGAGGCUAUUCAGCAUUUCACAAGUGGGAACAGUGAAGCUGCUAUAUUUGGGUAACAUUGUAUAAAGACAAGCUAAGCUGGAUCCUGUCACAGCUGUAUACCAUGUAUCCACCAAUAUCAAAUUUCAAACAGAACUGUGACAGAGUAACACAAUUCUGGCAGGCCUCAUUCCUUGUCUCUAUCAGCUGGAUGUAAAAAUAUUUUACGAAUGACUCUUAACACUGGACACCUACUGUGUUGAGGGGAGUCGCUCACUAGUCUUGGUCAGUGGCUUUUGGACAAUACAAGGAUUCCAGUAUCCUUGACAUCCUCUGCUGUGGGAAACUUUUGGAUCAAAAUAACCCACAACAGGAAACUGGAAUGAAAAAUGUAUAUCAUGCACAGUUGAUAUUACUGUGAAAAUUCAGUAACACAUACAAGACAAUGAUGAAGUCAGAACGUACCGAAAUAGCAAUGGUUAAAAAAUUAGUAAAGUUUUCACAGUGUCUUGUACAGCCUUUUACUUUAACACAAGUGCAUCACUUACCACCACUAUUGCUCAAACAUUUUAAACAUCUCUUCGUCAUGCAGAUCAUAUUGAAAAGAAAACGAAGCAAAUUACAUUUAUUAGGCAUUUUUGGACAUUGAAUACAACUUGAAUUUUACUUCAGGUUUUCAAACUAUCAAACUACAAGUGGUUUCCAGAUAUCAUUUGCUGUACUGUUGGGUUUUUAACAUUCUUAUCUCAGUUAUAUCCUGAGAGUGCAAAAUGCCCAGCAAGCUAGCCCCAGAUACAGAGUUAAGCAUUGUUAAGCCAAGUUCUUGAACAAACAGAAGCUACAGGCAUCCUCUUAGUUUCUUCCUAUCCAUUCUUGAGACUGCUGAAGUUUAUUCAGUUGCACUGUUAUGCCUUUGCCUCCCAGAAAUGCUAGCUUACUUGGGUAAUUAAUUAAAGAGUAGAACUAGCUUGAGAACAACUGAUAUUUUCUGUUCUAAGAACAAGACACACAAUUCCAUUUUUCCCAGUUUGCAAAUUUCUAUUCGACACCACACAACCACCACCACCACCACCACCACAACUCAAUGUUAUGCCAUAAAACAAAGACUCAUUCCAUUGUUGUACACAGCUGGGGAUGGGCAAAGGGAAACAAAUCUAGCGUAUAAAUUGGAGGCUAUAGCUGAGAUAAUUGCUUGCUGAUAAGGAGAGAAUCCAGCUUCCCCUUAACUAUCGUUUCAUAAAUUAAUAAUUUGUUAAAAUCAUAAUCACAAGGAUUUAGCUAUUACACAAAAUUCAAGUUU